rnacentral:rRNA from 1 species
UACGGGGGGGGCAAGCGUUGUUCGGAAUUACUGGGCGUAAAGGGCUCGUAGGCGGCCAACUAAGUCAGACGUGAAAUCCCUCGGCUUAACCGGGGAACUGCGUCUGAUACUGGAUGGCUUGAGUGUGGGAGAGGGAUGCGGAAUUCCGGGUGUAGUGGUGAAAUGCGUAGAGAUCCGGAGGAACACCAGUGGCGAAGGCGACACGCUGGGCCGUACCUGACACUGAUGCGCGACAGCAUGGGGAGCAAACAGGG